UACGAAGGGGGCUAGCGUUGUUCGGAUUUACUGGGCGUAAAGCGCACGUAGGCGGAUCGAUCAGUCAGGGGUGAAAUCCCAGGGCUCAACCCUGGAACUGCCUUUGAUACUGUCGAUCUGGAGUAUGGAAGAGGUGAGUGGAAUUCCGAGUGUAGAGGUGAAAUUCGUAGAUAUCGAGAGGAACACCGGUGGCGAAGGCGGCCAACUGGACGAAUACUGACGCUGAGACUCGAAAGCGUGGGGAGCAAACAGG
rnacentral:rRNA from 1 species